UACAGGGGGUGCAACCGUUGCUCGGAAUCAUUGGGCGUAAAGCGCACGUAGGCGGUUCGUUAUGUCGGAUGUGAAAGCCCUUGGCUUAACCGAGGAAGUGCAUCCGAAACCGGCGAGCUAGAGUACGAAAGAGGAUCGCGGAAUUCCCGGUGUAGAGGUGAAAUUCGUAGAUAUCGGGAGGAACACCGGUGGCGAAGGCGGCGAUCUGGGUCGAUACUGACGCUGAGGUGCGAAAGCGUGGGGAGCAAACAGG
rnacentral:rRNA from 1 species